rnacentral:rRNA from 1 species
GUCGGAACGUGCCCAGAGGACGGGGAUAGCGGCGGGAAACUGCCGGUAAUACCCGAUGAUCUCGAGAGAGCAAAGGUGUGAUCCCGCCUUUGGAGCGGCCGACAUGGUAUUAGCUAGUUGGUGGGGUAACGGCCCACCAAGGCUUUGAUGCCUAGGGGAUGUGAGAGCAUGAUCCCCACCAUUGGGACUGAGACACUGCCCAGACACCUACGGGUGGCUGCAGUCGAGAAUCUUCGUCAAUGGGCGAAAGCCUGAACGAGCGACGCCGCGUGCGGGAUGAAGGCCCUUGGGUUGUAAACCGCUGUCGAGGGGGAUGAAGGCUUGAAGGUACUCCUUCAAGUUUGACAGAGCCCUGGAGGAAGCACGGGCUAAGUUCGUGCCAGCAGCCGCGGUAAUACGAACUGUGCGAACGUUAUUCGGAAUCACUGGGCUUACAGGGUGCGUAGGCGGCCGAACAAGUCAGGUGUGAAAGCCCUCGGCUCAACCGAGGAACUGCGCUUGAAACUGUUUGGCUC